GAUGAAGAACGUAGCGAAAUGCGAUAACUAAUGUGAAUUGCAGAAUUCAGUGAAUCAUCGAGUCUUUGAACGCACAUUGCGCCCCCUGGUAUUCCGGGGGGCAUGCCUGUCCGAGCGUCAUUGCUGCCCUCAAGCACGGCUUGUGUGUUGGGCCCCGUCCUCCGAUUCCGGGGGACGGGCCCGAAAGGCAGCGGCGGCACCGCGUCCGGUCCUCGAGCGUAUGGGGCUUUGUCACCCGCUCUGUAGGCCCGGCCGGCGCUUGCCGAUCAACCCAAAUUUUUAUCCAGGUUGACCUCGGAUCAGGUAGGGAUACCCGCUGAACUUAAGCAUAUCAAUAAGCGGAGGA
rnacentral:misc_RNA from 1 species